CGGGAUGAGAGUCCCGUAGGAGUGUGGCCGAAGUAACUUUGGCUGAACCGUGAA
ncrna:Methanococcoides methylutens MM1 eL15-Euryarchaeota ribosomal protein leader